CUCUUUAAAAAUCUGGAUCAAGCUGAAAAUUGAAA
rnacentral:rRNA from 1 species